GGUUGUUAGAUGACAUUACCAUGGAAUGUCGUACAUAGCAUAAUUGUCAUAAAUGAAGUAGGGGGAAUGCGAAGACGUGUGAUUUCUUUUGCAGUGCCAACAAUCGUGAGACUCUUCAGACUAAAUAUCGACUGUUGUGAAAUCUUGUUUUAACGUACCUCAGCAUGACUCGUGCCAUUUGCAAGAUCACGUGGUAAAUUGCCGCAUUUCAAUAAGUAAUUCCCUCGCUGACAGAAUUAGCAUCAUUGUUGUCGUGCCCAAUCAUGUUUUCCCAAGGCCUUGUCUCGAAAGUCGUGUGUGAUAUUCUCUGACGUCCACUGACAUAUAGUUUAAGUUUCAUGUAUACGUGCGCACUAGCGUUCCGUUCUGCGUAGAAUGUGAUGUGCUCCGACAUCCGUCCUUAGUGCAUGUUAUCCAAAACUCUCAAAGUUUUGCUUAAUGUAUGAAUUUGCUUCGUGUAUCGUGUAUCAAACACAACUCUUGUGCAUGUUUAAAAUCAAAACAGUUGACUCACUGUUCUUGGCAACGGUUGGAACCCAUAUUCGAGUCUUAGGCGUUCUGUAUGUGUUCAAUUCUUGAUAUCUAAGUCCCCAAAGAAUAGUGAGGUUAAAGCCUAGGUAUCUCUGCAGAAACCUAAUUCGCUGUAACCUAUAGCUCUGAUACCAAUCUGUCACACC
rnacentral:lncRNA from 1 species